GACGGAGGAUGCAAGCGUUAUCCGGAAUGAUUGGGCGUAAAGCGUUCGCAGGGGGCUGUUCAAGUCUGCUGUCAAAGACCGGGGCUUAACCCCAGAAAGGCAGUGGAAACUGAACGGCUGGCGUGCAGAUCGGGUAGAGUGAAUUCCCAGUGUAGCGGUGAAAUGCGUAGAGAUUGGGAAGAACACCGGUGGCGAAAGCGCUCUGCUGGACUGCAACUGACACUGAGGGACGAAAGCUAGGGGAGCGAAUGGG
rnacentral:rRNA from 1 species